GCCCUCUCAGGGUCACACCUGGAGAGUUUCCAGUACUCUGCCAGUUUCUACUACAGGAGGGAGAGUCAAGCAGAGGCCUACCUACUCCAUUCCUAGCUUGGGCAGUUGCUAGUGAGUGGAUGGCAAUCUCCUACAAGU
rfam:Ornithorhynchus anatinus chromosome 5, whole genome shotgun sequence.